AGUACGUGCGUGCGAGAACAAGAGACGAGAAAAAAGAGAGCAUUCGACAUCAUUCGUCCAUCGUGGUCAGAAGUGUCCGAGCUAUCCUGAGUUGUCUGCUGUAUAUUAUAGCUAUCCGAAAUUCUGAGACCUGCCGCCGAUAUCUGCAGUGGGUGUACGAAGGUGUGAUGAUUUCAUGACGAGGCCAGAAUUAUUGAAAAGGACGACCACGGAGAUAGCCCGGGAAAAAAUAUUCAUAUCUGACGAUCAUAUAUCCUCAGAUCUGGCCAAUUUCCAUAUCUGACCAUAUAUGGCCAUUCAUAUAUGAUCAUAUAUGAUCAGAUAUGAAUAUUUUUUCCCGGGAGAAGGAAGGACGAAAUUCAUGAGAAGGACGGACGUCGCCAUUUUCGGGGAUUCGCCCAUUACAUGUCUUGAUACGGAAGGAGGUUUUAUCCGUGAUCGCUUGCUGGGCUUUCACUAUUCCGCCAGUCUCCCAAAAGCGGGAGAACUAUUUCACGCAUGUGAAAGAAUGGCUAUAAGAACAUUCAGGAGAUUUCCUUUUUUACAUGGGAUGCUGAAAUGUACAGUCGCCUCGCUGUUGAUUGCUGGGCAUCAUCCCACGAUAUAAUCCUGUGCUUUAACUACCGGGAUUAUUUCCUUUGAGUGCUCAAAGUAAAACGUCGCUAAUAUCGGUUGCAACCACGCGUAACUUUUACCUAAAGUCUUACACGUCUUUUAUGUUGUCGUGUAUGAAUAAUUAUACGGAUAAUUAGUCUCUCGUAAAAUGUAUUCGCUCCUUAUUACGACAAUUGAUCAAAUUGCUAAUGAUAAAACAUUGUAAAUAUCUCUUACAUAUACUUAGUUUCGAAUUACUUGCGUUACGAUUCUGGAUAUAUUUUCUGUAUUAUGAAGUUUACAUAAACAUAAAGUAUCUCGUAUUCAAUUCUCGUGAAUUAGAUAUGAGUUUAUAUUUCUUUGCCAUAUUUACUACAUGUAUAUGUUUAAAUGAAUUUUCACUACAUUUACGUAUUGUUUAACAGCCAUUGUGGCAUUUGCUCAUUUAUAUUACAAAAUAAAUAGAACGUUUAAAAUA